rnacentral:rRNA from 1 species
UAAUCUACCCUAAAGUCUGGAAUAACCGGCCGAAAGGCUGGCUAAUACUGGAUAGAGCGACGGGAUCCGUAAUCGGAUCUUUCGGGAAAGGGAGGCAGUAAUGCCCCUUGCUUUAGGAUGAGCCUGCGUCUCAUUAGCUAGUUGGUGGGGUAAUGGCCCACCAAGGCUUUGAUGGGUAGCUGGUCUGAGAGGAUGAUCAGCCACACUGGAACUGAAACACGGUCCAG